CAGCCCCUCGCUGCUGCGGGAUGGGCACAGCCUCCACCGCAGGAAAUCCUCCAAGAUUGCGAGAUCUGAGGUGACUGACUUUUGUUAUUUGUUUGUUUGUUUGUUUGUUUUCAAACAAACAUGCACAAAUCUCCCUAGUUGAAGAGACCGUGUCACUGGACGAGGAAGACUCCGUGGAGGCUGUUGGCAGGAGCGUCUCAGGGAGAUCUGCUGAUUUAUUUGCUUAUUCAGUAGGCUGCUUUGGCUGCUUGGUCUGACCUGCCCAGACUGACACUGAGAUAUUUGGAAGCUUGAACCUACAGUUAACUGCUGGUUUUGCCCACGAGCUGCUGAGAAGUCUGCUACAACCCCUGCAGAGCUGGAGGAGUCCAUCAAGACAAGGAGAAGUGCUCCAUCUCUCUGACCAACUUGGUGGCCUUCUCUGGACUUGCUCCAGGUCAAUGUUGGAGACCCCACAGCUGGAUGCAGCACUCCAGGUCAGGCCUCACCAGAGGAGAGAGGCAGAAUCACCUCCCUCACCCUGCUGGCCAUGCUGCUUUUGAUGCAGCUCAGGAUACAAUUGGUUUCUGGGCUACCCCAACCCCUACAGCACAAGGGUCUGGCUUUCCUUGAGCAGAUGAGAGAGUAAGCACUUGCCCCAGGAGCUGAGCAGAGAAGGCUGCCUCCCCAUUGCUGCUGAGAAGCA